rnacentral:rRNA from 1 species
UACGUAGGGUGCAAGCGUUGUCCGGAAUUAUUGGGCGUAAAGAGCUCGUAGGCGGUCAGUCGCGUCUGCUGUGAAAACUCGGGGCUUAACUCCGGGCCUGCAGUGGGUACGGGCUGACUAGAGUGCGGUAGGGGAGACUGGAAUUCCUGGUGUAGCGGUGAAAUGCGCAGGUAUCAGGAGGAACACCGAUGGCGAAGGCAGCUUGCUGGGACGGUACUGACGCUGAGACGCGAAAGCGUGGGGAGCAAACAGG